rnacentral:tRNA from 1 species
GAGGGUAUAGCUCAGCGGUAGAAUGCCUGCUUAGCAUGCAUGAGGGUCCUGGAUUCAAUCCCCAGUACCUCCA